GCGGAUCUCGAAAGCCUGUCCCAGUUCGGACUGGAGUCUGCAACCCGACUCCACGAAGUUGGAUUCGCUAGUAAUCGCGCAUCAGCCAUGGCGCGGUGAAUACGUUCCCGGGCCUUGUACACACCGCCCGUCAAGCCAUGGGAGCCGGGGGCGCCUGAAGUCCGGGACCGCGAGGACCGGCCUAGGGCGAAACUGGUAACUGGGGCUAAGUCGUAACAAGGUAUC
rnacentral:rRNA from 1 species